UACGUAGGUGGCAAGCGUUGUUCGGAAUUACUGGGCGUAAAGGGCUCGUAGGCGGCCAACUAAGUCGGACGUGAAAUCCCUCAGCUUAACUGGGGAACUGCGUCCGAUACUGGAUGGCUUGGAUUUGGGAGAGGGAUGCGGAAUUCCAGGUGUAGCGGUGAAAUGCGUAGAUAUCAGGAGGAACACCGGCGGCGAAGGCGGCCCUCUGGAUCGUUGCUGACGCUGAGACGCGAAAGCGUGGGGAGCAAACAGG
rnacentral:rRNA from 1 species